UAUAAGAAAGUGUAAACAUUGAGCACAUAAGCUUUUGAAGCUUAAGGUAAACGUAGUUUUCUUAUAA
rnacentral:tRNA from 1 species